rnacentral:rRNA from 1 species
UACGUAGGAGGCAAGCGUUGUCCGGAAUUACUGGGCGUAAAGCGCGUGUAGGUGGUGGGACAAGUCUGCUGUGAAAGCGCCUGGCUUAACCGGGCGAGGUCGGCGGAAACUGUCCGACUAGAGGACGGUAGAGGGGGUGGAAUUCCCGGUGUAGUGGUGAAAUGCGUAGAGAUCGGGAGGAACACCUGUGGCGAAGGCGGCCCCCUGGGCCGGCCCUGACACUGAGACGCGAAGGCGUGGGGAGCGAACGGG